AUCGCUUCUCGGCCUUUUGGCUAGAUCAGUGUAGUAUCUGUUCUUAUCAGUUUUAAUAUUUGAUCGUCCCUACGCGGGACCUAUUAUUAAUUGAUUUUGGAGCGGGAGAUGGCUUAGGCUUGCUCGUCAUCCAGCAUCGAGAUGGGUAUUGCUGUACUUCUGGGUCGGUUGCUCCCCUU
rnacentral:snRNA from 1 species